AGGGGAAGGAGAAUGGCAAACUCAGCAGCCAAUCAGCCCAUCCUGAACCACAGCUACCGAUUGGAGUCAUCUCUUCCUGAUGGCCUGUUGGUUGAGGGUUCAGCCUGGGUGGUGGUGGCACAGGCCUUUAGUCCCAGCACUUGGGAGGCAGAGGCAGGAGGAUCUCUGUGAGUACAAGGCCAGCCUGGUCUACAGAACAAGUUCCAGGAUAGGCUCCAAAGCUACACAGAGAAACCCUGUCUCGAAAAAAAAAAAGUGAUACGCUAAAGAAGGAUUCAGUUUAGAAUCUCAUCUCUGAUUUUCCAGCAAGGCUUUCCUGAACCUCGGGGUUGGGCCAGCAGGCCCCUUUGGGUACUACAGGGUUCUGGACUUUUCUUAUCAGGUCACCUUGCCUCCAGAUUCCCCUCUAAAGACCUGGUCCUUUUGGGCUAUCAGAAAGGCAGGGUGAAGACCUGUAGUUCAUACCUUGGCAUUGUCACCAGACCCGCUAAUGAUUGCUUAUUGACAACUGAGAGCACAAAUAAGAGAGAUAAGCAAGAAAAGUAAAUACUUAGACACCAGGAGACACCCCAGAACAAGCCUGGUCUCUGAGCCUUUGUACAACCCUCUGCAGAAGUCAGUCCCUUCCCUGCUUUUUGAUUUUUGGUACUAGGACUGAUUGAACCAAGGGCCAUGCAGAUGUCAGGCAAGUACCUUGUCACUGAACCACAUCUCAGACACCCCUUUUACUUUUGUUCUUGACAGUGUCUUCUUAUGUAGCCCUGGCUGGCUUUAAACUCAUCAUGUAGACCAGGCUGACCUUGAACUUGCGAAGAUUCCUGUGCUUCCGCCCAUCAAACGCUGGGAUUACAAUGACAGAAUGCCAUGCCUGACUCUUGUUUCUACCUCUACUUUUAUUAUUAUUAUUUGUUACAUUUAUUUAUUUUAUGUGUGUGUGUGUGUGUGUGAGUGUGGGUACAUAUGUGCCAUGGAAGUCAGAGAAUAACCUGCAGGAAUCAGUUUUCUCUUUCUACCAUAUGGGCUCCAGGGAUUGAACUCAAGUACUUAGGUUUAGCAGCAAGCACCCUUACCUCCUGAGCCAUUUCCCUGGUCCCAUAUUAUCAUUAUUACUAUUACUAUUAUUAUUAUUAUUAUUAUUAUUAUUACUAUUAUUUAUUAACAUCAGCGGUCUUUCUCGAUCACCUUCCUCAUCUGUUUAUUGAGGCAGUGCCUCUCACUUGAGUCCAGAGUCUGCCAACAGAGUUACUCUCGCUAUCCAGCUCUGGGGAUCCCUUGUCUCUGCCUCCCAUGUGCUGGGAUUGCAGACAACAGCUAUGCCCACUUGGCAUUCACGUGAGUGCUGGGGAUCCAAAAUUCCAACCUCAAGCUUCUGCAGUAAGUGUUUUAUCCUCACAGUCAUCUCCUCAGCCCUAGAACACUUUCACCCCCUCUUGACCUGACUAGUCAUCUUCAUCACUUUAGGUAUCAGAUAGGAGGACCUCUGGGGCAGGAAUUCCUCCCUGGCUAGGUCAGGUACUUCCUUUGGGUUCCUGAAGCUCCCCAGCCCAGUUCUGACCAUGUUGGGAUGUCACAGUCUCAUGAUGGUCUGUGUUUCUCAUUGAAUUAGGAAUCACGGGGUAUAAAGUCUUUGAUUUCUUUAAAGAAAAAUGCUGAUUCCUUUUGACAUAGUAGAGAAUUAGUCAUUGAGGAAGAGAGAAGAAGAUGAAGGAGGAUGAGGACCAUCAGGGUAAGGAGAUAGCUUGGUGGGUAAGGUGUUUGCCACAAAAGCAUGAGGAUCUGAGUUCUAUACCCCAUACUCAUGUUUACUGGGUGUGACCAUGACUGUAUUUGCAGUGCAGGGUGAUGGAGACGGGUGCAGACAGACCCUAUCUCAAAAACCAUGCAAACAGACAUCUCUUUCCCCAAAUAAGAUGGAAUUGGAAAUGGGCAACAUGGAUAUCUGCGAAAGUCUAGAGGAUAGAGGAGAUGGGGGCAGGCUUACCAUCGCCCUUGGUGAAGUUGAAGAAGACCGGGUAUGAGCCGCGGCCACUGAACUCCUCCCCUUUGUCCACGAGAGCCUCCUUCACAGUUUGGUAUCCACUGAGGACCACCACUCGCCUAGGCCCCAGGUCAGAAGAAGAGCGUGUUAAAGCCAACACUGGAGCAGGCAAGGGAGAGGUGCACUGCAGCCAAGGGUCUGGGAAGCCCUUGGAAGCACACCCAACUUUGCUGUCCUUGUGGGAGGUGAGAGGAAGCAAUUCAACCCCUCAAGUCUCAGGCACAUGCCUGUUCCAAAUGCAACUUGGACGCAAGGAGGAGUAUCCUUUAGUCUCUGAACAUGGCACCGUUGAUGUUGAUGUUUUGGGGCUACUAAUUCAUAUGGAAGGCUGUGCCUUGUGCGGUACCAACAUGAGUGUGCCUUACCUCUGCCUCUGAAAUGCCUUUGGAAACACUGGGGGACUCAGGUUUUCAGAACUGCGGGGAGCGCCCAGCACACGCCACUGUUCCUGUCUCUGCAGCACCUACAGUUCCAAAGCCAUUGUCCAUGUAGCCAUAUCUUUGGCUUUUACUGAAAAGUAAGAAGUCAUGCUUAUUAUCACUCCCAUGAUACCUUGAGGAGUCAUGCGGAACCCCAACGAAAAUCUACACCCCAUCUCUCCUGAGCCCUAGGGAUGCCAGAGGCUUUGCUUGACAGUGGAUUUGGGCUCUGUUGGUGAAUGCGAAUGAAUGAUACCAGUUUGGACAAGUAAGACCUGGGAGCUGAAGGGUGAGCUCGCCGCCGUUAUUCCCUGGUGCUGUUUACGGCCAUGCCUGAUUUUUCUGUUAACUUUUGGAUUAUCGGGAUUAACCUUUCUUUUCCCAUCUCUGUCACUUCUCCCUGGAAGGCGGUUUGCCAACCAUGAGCCUCCCCUUUCAAACAAAACAAACUUCAAAGGAGCUGGCUCUACCAUCUCCUCCCUCACAAGCUGUGCCUGAAGAUGUUUACCGUGAUGGGUGGAGAGAAAUGUCAGCUUCUUUGGAGAGAUUUGCUCCCAUGGAGAGGUCAUGGCGUUGCCUGUAAACAUGAGUGCACAACAGUCUCAGCUUCUAAUGUUUUAGCUGUCCGCGAUUAACAGCAGGGCUGUCUGAGGUGCACGGAUUCUUUUAUUUAAUUAUUUUUCUUUUACAAAAGCUUAUUAUUUCAUAAUUACACACACAUAUCUUCUCUAAAUUGAGUUUUUUUUUUUUAAAUAGCAUGUGCAUUGGUAUUGUGCUUGCAUGGAUGUCUGUAUAAGGGUGUCAGAUCCUCUGGAACUGGAGUUACAGACAGUUGUGAGCUGUCAAGUGGAUCCUGAGAAUUGAACCCUGGUCCUCUGGAAGAGGAAACAGUUCUCCUAACCACUGAGCCAUCUCUCUAGCCCAAUCACAUCCUCUCUAUUCCCUCCCCUUGUGUGCAUCUUCAUCUUCCUCCAAACUUUUUUGCUCCGACUUUCAUGCCUUUGUGAGUGUGAGUGAGUUUGAGUGUGUGUUGUGUAAGUGUGAGUUGUGUUGUAUGAGUGUGUGUUGUGUGUGUGUGUGUGUGUGUGUGUGACUCACUGCAUUCGAUUAGGAUUUCUCAUUUGAGAGUGGGUGAGGAGCAAUUUACUUCAGUGUGGACACUUAGCAGAGACUACAUCACUGCAGUGUCUCCAGCUCCUCCGGAAGGGGAGGGAUUGUAUUACCCCGCCCCCAUCCAUGAUGGAGUGGCCACAGGCCCCACGGUGUGUGACCCUUGUUUAGUGUGUUCAUGCGAGCAGCAUCUGUCAUGUGUAGAAGUCCUUCCAUUCUUUCCGGCUUCUCCUUCAUGGUGUUCCCUGAGCUUUGGGGGGUGCCUGGGGGAGCAGGUGUCCCAUUAGGGCUGAGCAGGCCCCAGUAACUUAUUCUCAGCUCUGCCCAGUUGUGAGCCUUAGCUUUUUUUCUUCUCAUUAGCGUAUAUUCACUGUAUCAGGUGAUGGAUUUUAUUAUGACACUUUCUUUAAAAAAUGUUUACUUCUUUUCAUGUGCACCACGUGUGUCCUGGUGCGUGAGGAGGCCAGAAGAGAGUGCUGGUAUAAAAUGUUUGAUAAAAGACUGAAAAUUAGGGUCAGAGCCGUGAGCACCAAGAGCUAACCAGAAACAAAAAUGUUCAUUUCUUGUAGUGCAGCAGACAAUGACCUAAGCGAUUUGAUAGAGGGCUUGGAACAAUGUCCAAGCCUAUAAACCUCAGUCUUUUGGAGGUUGUUGUCCAGGGGUAGUCUGGGACCACCUGUAUGUCAGAUGUUUAAUUGAGAUUCACAACAUAAGCAAAACUGCAGUUUUAAAUAAUAACAGAAAAUAUUCUGUAAUGGGAGGAUAACUAUACCGUGAAAAACUACAUUAAAGGCAAAAGCAUUAAAAUAUUAACUAAUGGUUUAAAAAUAUAUUUCCCUGUUCAAGACCUAUUCAGGCCUAAAAAUGUAUGUUUAGCCUCCUUGUCUUUGCUAACUUUGUUGGGUUUAAGCUAUUUGGAUAAACUGAGCCAUAAAUGUUUGCAUUGAUACUAAGAGGUUUGGACCUCCUCUUCUGGGAAGAAAAUGUUUCUAUACUCAAUGACCUGUUAAUGAUAGAGAACAAAACACUGGAUGAAAAAUUGUUCAGCUGGUCUCCUUGGUUAACAACCUUGCUUCCAGUUCUAACAGGCCCCUAAUGAUCUUGCUUCUUCUUAUCAACAGACUGAUGGCUUUUGUUCAAGAAGGGUCUAUGCUGUUCACCUGAUGGUACUGAGGUCCCAGUAUCACCCCUUGAGCCCCUGGACAGACAGGACCCAUGACUGAGUCCUGACAUUGAUAGAGACCCCAAGAUCCUAGCAGUAACCCAAGGUCUCCAAAGAAGAUUAGGAGACACCAUGAUGUCUCCACCUGGAUUAGGACGACGCUGACCACUGGGCGAGGUGACCCCAGUGCAACACUGGCUGCCAGGACCCGGUCCAGACUGUGGACAAACAGCAGGACCCUGGAGAAUUGAUUGCACCACUUCUGCCUAGACAAAAUAAGGCUUCCACUUGGCUGGCAGACACAUCUAAGCAUCAGUUGCUGACUACAACCUGCUCUGAAUGGCGGCGAGCCAUGGACUUCAUGAAAGCUGAUGUGGACCAGUCCAGCUGAUGUGAACACUCCCUGUUCCUUCAAUGAAGUCUGAUGAGUGCCCUAUUGCCUAAAUUCCCUCCCCACCUUUGGCUAGCCUUUCAACCUGCUUGGGCCCUGAUAACAAUGCCCCAAUGUCAGCUUGAAGUAGUUGUGGAAAAGUACAUGUCAUCUCAUGCUCCCUGCCCAAAAUAGGUUAAAAGGCUGAGACAAGGAACUCCCUGGCAUGGGAACAAGAUAAUUAUC